UACGGGGGGGGCGAGCGUUGUUCGGAAUCACUGGGCGUAAAGGGCGCGUAGGCGGCCCGCACAAGUCUGCGGUGAAAACCCCCGGCUUAACCGGGGGCCGGCCGUGGAAACUGUCGGGCUGGAGGCUGGGAGAGGGCAGCGGAAUUCCCGGUGUAGCGGUGAAAUGCGCAGAUAUCGGGAAGAACACCCGUGGCGAAGGCGGCUCUCUGGGACGGUACUGACGCUGAGACGCGAAAGCGUGGGGAGCGAACGGG
rnacentral:rRNA from 1 species